rnacentral:rRNA from 1 species
GUCCAUGCCGUAAACGAUGGAUACUAGCUGUUGGGAGCAAUCUCAGUGGCUAAGCGAAAGUGAUAAGUAUCCCACCUGGGGAGUACGUUCGCAAGAAUGAAACUCAAAGGAAUUGACGGGGGCCCCGCACAAGCGGUGGAGCAUGUGGUUUAAUUCGAUGAUACGCGAGGAACCUUACCAAGGCUUAAAUGUAGAUUGACCGUUUUGGAAACAGAACUUUCGCAAGACAAUUUACAAGGUGCUGCAUGGUUGUCGU